rnacentral:rRNA from 1 species
GACGAACGCUGGCGGCGUGCCUAAUACAUGCAAGUAGAACGCUGAAGAGAGGAGCUUGCUCUUCUUGGAUGAGUUGCGAACGGGUGAGUAACGCGUAGGUAACCUGCCUUGUAGCGGGGGAUAACUAUUGGAAACGAUAGCUAAUACCGCAUAACAAUGGAUGACACAUGUCAUUUAUUUGAAAGGGGCAAUUGCUCCACUACAAGAUGGACCUGCGUUGUAUUAGCUAGUAGGUGAGGUAAAGGCUCACCUAGGCGACGAUACAUAGCCGACCUGAGAGGGGGAUCGGCCAAACUGGGAAUGGGACACGGCCCAGACUCCUACGGGAGGCAGCAGUAGGGGAUCUUCGGGAAUGGGGGCAACCCUGACCGAGGAACGCCGCGUGAGUGAAGAAGGUUUUCGGAUCGUAAAGCUCUGUUGUUAGGGAAGAACGGGAGUGAGAGUUGAAAGUUCACACUGUGACGGUAGCUUACCAGAAAGGGACGGCUAACUACGUG